AUUGAACGCUGGCGGCAGGCCUAACACAUGCAAGUCGAACGAGUGGCGGACGGGUGAGUAAUGUCUGGGAAACUGCCCGAUGGAGGGGGAUAACUACUGGAAACGGUAGCUAAUACCGCAUACCAUCUGAUGUUCCCAGAUGGGAUUAGCUAGUAGGUGUGGUAACGGCUCACCUAGGCGACGAUCCCUAGCUGGUCUGAGAGGAUGACCAGACACAAUGGAACUGAGAAAAGGUCCAGACUCCUACGGGAGGCAGCAGUGGGGAAUAGUGCACAAGGGGCGAAAGCCUGAUGCAGCCAUGCCGCGUGGAUGAAGAAGGCCUUCGGGUUGUAAAGUACUUUCAGCGAGGAGGCGUUACUCGCAGAAGAAGCACCGGCUAACUCCGGGCCAGCAGCCGCGGUAAUUC
rnacentral:rRNA from 1 species